rnacentral:lncRNA from 1 species
GCUCCCAGGCUCACAAAGACCCUUUCUUCCGCUUUGGCGGCAAACACCGAGCCACACACAGCAGGACGAAGAAGUGGCGGGUGGAGCAGUGGAUGGAUCGCAGGGAAUGAGACUGGAUUUCUUCUUCCCUUCUUUGCCUGUCCAAAAAACAACAGGGGGGUCCUGUCCCACAGCCAGGGUAGUGAACCCAGUGGUGGACAGGCGUUGUCAUGGUGCAAAGGGGUUGAACUGAUGAGGAUGAAUGGUUGCCUGGCAUAUACAUUCCCCACCAGCCAUGUUCAAAUAGG